AUUGAACGCUGGCGGCAGGCCUAACACAUGCAAGUCGAACGGAAACAUGUCUAGCUUGCUAGAUGAUGUCGAGUGGCGGACGGGUGAGUAAUACUUAGGAACAUGCCUUUGGGUGGGGGAUAACUAUUGGAAACGAUAGCUAAUACCGCAUAAUGUCUACGGACCAAAGGGGGCUUCGGCUCCCGCCCAGAGAGUGGCCUAAGCGAGAUUAGCUUGUUGGUGAGGUAAAGGCUCACCAAGGCGACGAUCUCUAGCUGUUCUGAGAGGAAGAUCAGCCACACUGGAACUGAGACACGGUCCAG
rnacentral:rRNA from 1 species